rnacentral:rRNA from 1 species
AACAGCCGCGGUAAUUCCAGCUCCAAUAGCGUAUAUUAAAGUUGUUGCAGUUAAAAAGCUCGUAGUUGAAUUUCGGGAUCAAUACGUCGGUCGUGCUUCGGUACGUACUGGCGUAAUUGAUUUCUCCCUUCUGACGAACCAUGAUGUCAUUAACUUGGUGUCAUGGGAAAUCAGGACUGUUACUUUGAAAAAAUUAGAGUGUUUAAAGCAGGCUCACGCUUGAAUACAUUAGCAUGGAAUAAUGAAAUAGGACGUUCGAUCCUAUUUUGUUGGUUUUUAGGAUCAACGUAAUGAUUAAUAGGGAUAGUUGGGGGCAUUAGUAUUCAAUUGUCAGAGGUGAAAUUCUUGGAUUUAUUGUAAGACUAACUACUGCGAAAGCAUUUGCCAAGGANGUUUUCAUUAAUCAAGAACGAAAGUUAGGGGAUCGAAGACGAUCAGAUACCGUCGUAGUCUUAACCAUAAACCUAUGCCGACUAGGGAUCGGAUGAUGUUAAUUUUUAAUGACUCAUUCGGCGCCUUA